rnacentral:rRNA from 1 species
AACGAACGCUGGCGGCAUGCCUAACACAUGCAAGUCGAACGAGACCUCCGGGUCUAGUGGCGCACGGGUGCGUAACGCGUGGGAACCUGCCCUUAGGUUCGGAAUAACUCCCCGAAAGGGGUGCUAAUACCGGAUAAUGUCCUCGGACCAAAGAUUUAUCGCCUUUGGAUGGGCUGGCGUUGGCUUAGCUAGUUGGUAGGGUAAAAGCCUACCAAGGCGACGAUACAUAGCUGGUCUGAGAGGAUGAUCAGCCACACUGGGACUGAGACACGGCCCAGACUCCUACGGGAGGCAGCAGUGGGGAAUAUUGGAAAAUGGGCGAAAGGCUGAUCCAGCAAUGCCGCGUGAGUGAUGAAGGCCUUAGGGUUGUAAAGCUCUUUUACACGGGAUGAUAAUGACAGUACCGGGAGAAUAAGCUCCGGCUAACUCCGUG